AUUGAACGCUGGCGGCAUGCCUUACACAUGCAAGUCGAACGGCAGCACGGGUGCUUGCACCUGGUGGCGAGUGGCGAACGGGUGAGUAAUACAUCGGAACAUGUCCUGUAGUGGGGGAUAGCCCGGCGAAAGCCGGAUUAAUACCGCAUACGAUCUACGGAUGACAGCGGGGGACCUUCGGGCCUCGCGCUAUAGGAUUGGCCGAUGGCUGAUUAGCUAGUUGGUGGGGUAAAGGCCUACCAAGGCGACGAUCAGUAGCUGGUCUGAGAGGACGACCAGCCACACUGGGACUGAGACACGGCCCAGACUCCUACGGGAGGCAGCAGUGGGGAAUUUUGGACAAUGGGCGAAAGCCUGAUCCAGCAAUGCCGCGUGUGUGAAGAAGGCCUUCGGGUUGUAAAGCACUUUUGUCCGGAAAGAAAUCCUUGGCCCUAAUACGGUCGGGGGAUGACGGUACCGGAAGAAUAAGCACCGGCUAACUACGUG
rnacentral:rRNA from 1 species